GUGCCAGCCGCCGCGGUAAUACAGAGGGGGCAAGCGUUGUUCGGAAUUACUGGGCGUAAAGGGCGCGUAGGCGGCCCGCUAAGUCGAACGUGAAAUCCCCGAGCUCAACUCGGGAACUGCGUCCGAUACUGGCGGGCUUGAAUCCGGGAGAGGGAUGCGGAAUUCCAGGUGUAGCGGUGAAAUGCGUAGAUAUCUGGAGGAACACCGGUGGCGAAGGCGGCAUCCUGGACCGGCAUUGACGCUGAGGCGCGAAAGCUAGGGGAGCAAACGGGAUUAGAUACCCCAGUAGUCC
rnacentral:rRNA from 1 species